rnacentral:rRNA from 1 species
AUUGAACGCUGGCGGCAGGCCUAACACAUGCAAGUCGAACGAGUGGCGGAAGGGGGAGAAAUGUAUGGGAAAAUGCCUGAUGGAGGGGGAUAACUACUGGAAAAGGUAGCAAAUACCGCAUACCAUCGGAUGUGCCGCAAUGGGAUUAGCUAGUGGGUGGGGUAACGGCGCACCUAGGCGACGAGCCCUAGCUGGUCUGAGAGGAUGACCAGCCACACUGGAACUGAGACACGGUCCAGACUCCUACGUGAGGCAGCAGUGGGGAAUAUUGCACAAUGGGCGCAAGCCUGAUGCAGCCAUGCCGCGUGUAUGAAGAAGGCCUUCGGGUUGUAAAGUACUUUCAGCGGGGAGGCGUUACCCGCAGAAGAAGCACCGGCUAACUCCGUGCCAGCAGCCGCGGUAAUUC